rnacentral:rRNA from 1 species
CGGCGGACGGGUGAGUAACACGUGGGUAACCUACCUAUAAGACUGGGACAACUUCGGGAAACCGGAGCUAAUACCGGAUAAGAUAUCGAACCGCAUGGUUCGAUAGUGAAAGAUGGUUUUGCUAUCACUUAUAGAUGGACCCGCGCCGUAUUAGCUAGUUGGUGAGGUAACGGCUCACCAAGGCAACGAUACGCAGCCGACCUGAGAGGGUGAUCGGCCACACUGGAACUGAGACACGGUCCAGACUCCUACGGGAGGCAGCAGCG